GUAACUUCCAUUUUGCCUACACCCUGUGACUGACCUGUUUUAUGCAGGAGCCGUCUGCAUAAAGAAGGACUAGGACCCUGUGCCAGGCAUUAUGGAGGGUAUUUCCUGGGCCCAGGCUCCUGAGACAUCUGCAAGCUGAUGAAGAUAAAAGGAGCAUCUUUUGUUAUUCAUAGCUAGCCCCUUUCAGCCCAAUUUGAGUUCACGUUCAAGAGAUGGCUUUCGGAAGCCCCGCGGGAAUGGGGGCCGGUUGCUAAGGGAACCAACGCUGUCAUUAGAGGUUGAACUAAUCACCGAUGGCCAAUGAUUUAAUCGAUCGCGCCUGUAUAAUGAAACCUCUACAAAAACCCUAACGGAAGGGCUCCGAGAGGGUCUGGUCGGUGCGCACGUGGGGAGGCAGGGAGGACGGCUGGCCCGGAGACCGCAUGGACGCUCCGUGCCCCUUCCCCACCCCAUCCCGUGCCCUGUGCAUCCCUUCCCCUUGUAUCCAUUGUAAUAAACCAAUGAUAACAAGUAAAGCACUCUCCGGA